rnacentral:rRNA from 1 species
GAGUGGCGGACGGGUGAGUAACACGUGGGUAACCUGCCCUAAAGUGGGGGAUAACAUUUGGAAACAGAUGCUAAUACCGCAUAAAACCUAACACCGCAUGGUGUAGGGUUGAAAGAUGGUUUCGGCUAUCACUUUAGGAUGGACCCGCGGUGCAUUAGUUAGUUGGUGAGGUAAAGGCUCACCAAGACCGUGAUGCAUAGCCGACCUGAGAGGGUAAUCGGCCACACUGGGACUGAGACACGGCCCAGACUCCUACGGGAGGCAGCAGUAGGGAAUCUUCCACAAUGGACGAAAGUCUGAUGGAGCAACGCCGCGUGAGUGAAGAAGGUUUUCGGAUCGUAAAACUCUGUUGUUGGAGAAGAAUGUAUCUGAUAGUAACUGAUCAGGUAGUGACGGUAUCCAACCA